rnacentral:rRNA from 1 species
GACGAACGCUGGCGGCGUGCUUAACACAUGCAAGUCGAGCGGUAAGGCCCUUUCGGGGGUACGACGAGCGGCGAACGGGUGAGUAACACGUGGGUGACCUGCCCUCAGCUCUGGGAUAAGCCCGGGAAACUGGGUCUAAUACCGGAUAUGACUUCAUGACGCAUGUUGUGGAGUGGAAAGCCUUGUGCGGCUGAGGAUGGGCCCGCGGCCUAUCAGCUUGUUGGUGGGGUGAUGGCCUACCAAGGCGACGACGGGUAGCCGGCCUGAGAGGGCGACCGGCCACACUGGGACUGAGAUACGGCCCAGACUCCUACGGGAGGCAGCAGUGGGGAAGUCUUGCGCAAUGGGCGAAAGCCUGACGCAGCGACGCCGCGUGAGGGAUGACGGCCU